rnacentral:rRNA from 1 species
AUGGCUAUUGCGGCGAAGGCAUCGUGGAUGGUAGCCAUGAGCGUGGGCACUGUGGAGGCGCUCAAGGACCAAGCGAGGCUUUGCCGCUGGAACUACGCGCUCAGGUCCAUCCACCGAGCUGCCAAGGCCAAGGCCACCGUCCGUGGUGGCGUCUCGCUGGGCACCGAGCAGCUUCUGGCCUCCACGGCUGCUGUGGCGGAGAGACGGCGAGCGACGAAGGCUGAGGAAGGGCUGAGGACUGUCAUGUACCUCAGCUGCCGGGGGCCAAAUUAG